rnacentral:rRNA from 1 species
AUUGAACGCUGGCGCAUGCCUUACACAUGCAAGUCGAACGGUAACAGGGAGCUUGCUCCGCUGACGAGUGGCGAACGGGUGAGUAAUAUAUCGGAACGUACCUUUGAGUGGGGGAUAACUAGUCGAAAGAUUAGCUAAUACCGCAUACGAUCUACGGAUGAAAGUGGGGGAUCGCAAGACCUCAUGCUCAUAGAGCGGCCGAUAUCUGAUUAGCUAGUUGGUGAGGUAAAGGCUCACCAAGGCUUCGAUCAGUAGCUGGUCUGAGAGGACGACCAGCCACACUGGGACUGAGACACGGCCCAGACUCCUACGGGAGGCAGCAGUGGGGAAUUUUGGACAAUGGGGGCAACCCUGAUCCAGCAAUGCCGCGUGAGUGAAGAAGGCCUUCGGGUUGUAAAGCUCUUUUGUCAGGGAAGAAACGGGGGAUCCUAAUACGGUCCCCUAAUGACGGUACCUGAAGAAUAAGCACCSGCUAACUAC